GCUAUCUCCGCCUACCUUUUACUCCCUAUUUAAAUUGCUCACUCCAAUUCUCUCUCAGCUCCCGUCGUUAACUACCACCGCCGUCCGCCGGCGACUACGAUUUCCGCUGAAUUAUCGUAACGUCAACCCGAUCACCGGAAAUAUCCUUAAUUUGCGAAAUCUCCAGUGAGAAAAACAAUGUCGCACGCUAUUAACUUCUUUGUUUCGUCGCCUUCACGUUCGCCUGCAUCUCUCACAAUCUCAAGGCCUUCGGCGUUCGUAUCAACCGGUAGUUUACGUGUACCGGUGAAGAAAUCGUUGCGGAGUUUAGUUGUGAAAGCGUCGGCAGCGUCAGAUCUCGAUGAGUCACAGUCAUCUCCGGUGUUAGUGUCGGAGAAUGGUUCGGGAGGGGUGUUAUCAAGUGUGACGAAGGAGUAUGGUCGUAAUAAUGCGGUCGCAUCGUCAGCGGAUUCGAGUUCGAUUGAAGUGGAUACUGUAACAGAGGCGGAGCUGAAGGAGAAUGGGUUUAGGAGUACACGUAGGACGAAGCUGAUUUGUACGAUUGGUCCUGCUACUUGUGGGUUUGAGCAGCUGGAGGCUUUGGCUGUGGAAGGAAUGAAUGUUGCUAGGAUAAAUAUGUGUCAUGGAACACGUGAUUGGCAUCGUAUGGUAAUUGAGAGAGUUCGGAGGUUGAAUGAGGAGAAAGGGUUUGCUGUUGCCAUCAUGAUGGAUACUGAAGGUAGUGAGAUUCAUAUGGGAGACCUUGGCGGGGCUUCAUCUGCUAAAGCUGAGGAUGGUGAAAUUUGGAAUUUCACUGUUCGUGCAUUUGAUCCACCGCUUCCAGAACGCACCAUCACUGUUAACUAUGAUGGUUUUGCUGAAGAUGUAAAAGUGGGUGAUGAUCUUCUAGUAGAUGGUGGAAUGGUGAGAUUUGAAGUGAUUGAGAAAAUUGGCCCUGAUGUUAAGUGUCUUUGCACGGAUCCUGGACUUCUUUUACCUCGGGCUAAUCUGACAUUUUGGCGGGAUGGUAAAUUAGUAAGGGAACGCAAUGCUAUGCUGCCAACAAUUUCCUCAAAGGAUUGGCUAGACAUUGACUUCGGGAUUGCCGAGGGUGUAGAUUUUAUUGCUGUAUCAUUUGUCAAGUCUGCUGAAGUGAUUAAUCAUCUCAAAAGCUA
rnacentral:misc_RNA from 1 species